rnacentral:misc_RNA from 1 species
GCCACCGUUAUUACCUUCGUAAUUUAUGUGAUGAAGUUCGCUUUCCUAAUUGGCCAAUUGUUGAACACAUUGAAUUCUUGCAAUCGCUGCUGGUUAUGUGGCGAGAAGAGUUAACUCGGAGACCCAUGGAUCUUUCUGAAGAAGAGGCUUGCAAAAUAUUGGAGAUUUCUUUGGAUGAGGUGUCAAGAGAUGAUACUCCCAAAAGACAAUCAGAGGAGACAGUUAAUAUCUCUAAACAGAUUGAGAACAUUGACGAAGAAAAGCUCAAGCGACAAUAUCGAAAACUUGCAAUGAAGUAUCAUCCAGACAAAAAUCCCGAGGGUAGGGAAAAAUUUCUGGCAGUGCAGAAAGCUUACGAACGGCUGCAGGCUACAAUGCAAGGACUGCAAGGUCCACAGGUUUGGAGAUUAUUGCUUUUAUUGAAGGGACAAUGUAUUUUGUACAGACGACAUGGAGAUGUAUUGGAGCCAUUUAAAUAUGCUGGUUAUCCAAUGUUAUUAAAUGCAAUCACCGUGGAUAAAGACGACAACAAUUUCCUUUCUUCUGAUCGAGCAUCUCUUCUUGUUGCUGCAUCUGAAUUAAUAUGGCUAACGUGUGCAUCGUCUUCACUAAAUGGUGAAGAACUUGUAAGGGAUGG